rnacentral:rRNA from 1 species
AUUGAACGCUGGCGGCAGGCCUAACACAUGCAAGUCGAGCGGAUGAAGGGAGCUUGCUCCUGGAUUCAGCGGCGUACGGGUGAGUAAUGCCUAGGAAUCUGCCUGGUAGUGGGGGAUAACGUCCGGAAACGGGCGCUAAUACCGCAUACGUCCUGAGGGAGAAAGUGGGGGAUCUUCGGACCUCACGCUAUCAGAUGAGCCUAGGUCGGAUUAGCUAGUUGGUGGGGUAAAGGCCUACCAAGGCGACGAUCCGUAACUGGUCUGAGAGGAUGAUCAGUCACACUGGAACUGAGACACGGUCCAGACUCCUACGGGAGGCAGCAGUGGGGAAUAUUGGACAAUGGGCGAAAGCCUGAUCCAGCCAUGCCGCGUGUGUGAAGAAGGUCUUCGGAUUGUAAAGCACUUUAAGUUGGGAGGAAGGGCAGUAAGUUAAUACCUUGCUGUUUUGACGUUACCAACAGAAUAAGCACCGGCUAACUUCGU